rnacentral:rRNA from 1 species
GACGAACGCUGGCGGCGUGCUUAACACAUGCAAGUCGAACGGGGUCCAUGGAGAGCUUGCUCUUCGGAAGACCUAGUGGCGAACGGGUGAGUAACACGUGAAGAACCUGUCCCGAAGACGGGGAUAAGCCGGGGAAACCUGGUCUAAUACCCGAUACCUUUACGAGAUCGCAUGGUUUUGUAAAGAAAUGAAUCUUGCUUUGGGAGGGCUUCGCGGCCUAUCAGCUUGUUGGUGAGGUAACGGCNCACCAAGGCUUCGACGGGUAGCUGGUCUGAGAGGACGACCAGCCACACUGGGACUGAGACACGGCCCAGACUCCUACGGGAGGCAGCAGUGGGGAAUAUUGCGCAAUGGGCGAAAGCCUGACGCAGCAACGCCGCGUGUGGGAUGAAGGCUCUCGGGGUUGUAAA